AUUGCCCCAGUAACGGCGAGUGAAGCGGCAACAGCUCAAAUUUGAAAUCUGGUCCCCAGGGCCCGAGUUGUAAUUUGCAGAGGAUGCUUUUGGCGAGGCGCCUUCCGAGUUCCCUGGAACGGGACGCCAUAGAGGGUGAGAGCCCCGUCUGGUUGGAUGCCGAGCCUCUGUAAAGCUCCUUCGACGAGUCGAGUAGUUUGGGAAUGCUGCUCUAAAUGGGAGGUAUAUGUCUUCUAAAGCUAAAUACCGGCCAGAGACCGAUAGCGCACAAGUAGAGUGAUCGAAAGAUGAAAAGCACUUUGAAAAGAGGGUUAAAUAGUACGUGAAAUUGUUGAAAGGGAAGCGCUUAUGACCAGACUUGGGCCCGGUGAAUCAUCCAGCGNUUCUCGCUGGUGCACUUUGCCGGGNCUCAGGCCAGCAUCAGUUUGCCCCGGGGGAUAAAGGCUUUGGGAAUGUGGCUCCCUCGGGAGUGUUAUAGCCCAUUGCACAAUACCCUGGGGCGGACUGAGGUUCGCGCAUCNUGCAAGGAUGCUGGCGUAAUGGUCAUCGGCGACCCGUCUUGAAACACGGACCAAGGAGUCGUCUUCGUAUGCGAGUGUUCGGGUGUCAAACCCCUACGCGUAAUGAAAGUGAACGCAGGUGAGAGCUUCGGCGCAUCAUCGACCGAUCCUGAUGUUCUCGGAUGGAUUUGAGUAAGAGCAUACGGGGCCGGACCCGAAAGAAGGUGAACUAUGCCUGUAUAGGGUGAAGCCAGAGGAAACUCUGGUGGAGGCUCGCAGCGGUUCUGACGUGCAAAUCGAUCGUCAAAUAUGGGCAUGGGGGCGAAAGACUAAUCGA
rnacentral:rRNA from 1 species